rnacentral:lncRNA from 1 species
CCUGAACAGUAGGGGCAAGUAUGAACACAGCUCUGAAUUUGGAUUGUGAUCAAAUUGUUGACAUAAUAUGAGUUUCUGACACAAAUCAAAUGUCAAGAUCUUACAAAUCUAUUGCGCAAUAUUGUGCAAUUAAAGAUUUCUUCUUUAAACUUUUCAAAAAUUUGGAAAAAAAAUUUAAGAACUGCUACCAUCCCCUUAUUUUUGCAAUUAGUCCAAAAUCUGACAAUUCUUUAUACAUAAAUUACAAGUAGUGUUAGGUAGGUAAAUCAGAACAUAACAAACAAUUGUAUGUUAAAGGUUUUUGAAUUACCUCCUUUAAACUGCUUUUAAAUUGUCUUAAUUGUCGAUUGACCAGAAAAACCUAGUUUUCCCCCUUUUUUGGCCCUUUUGCCCCUAAUUCCAAAUAAAGUUGAGCAAAAACCCCCAAAGUCAAUACUAACCAUUCCUUCAUGGUAUGGAAACUUGUGGUAUAAUUUCAAAGAGAUUCAUACACUUAAACACACGUUAUUGUUUGAAAACUACAAAUUGCUUAUUUAGGCCCCUUAUUCCCACACUAUUGGGACCAUAACCCCCAAAAUCAAUCCCAACCUUCCUUUAUGCUAUUGAACCUUCUGGUAAAAAUUUAUAGAGAUCCAUUCACUAAAACAAAAGCUAUUGUCCGGAAACUAAAUGUGUCUUCGGAUGACAACGCAGACUACAUGAUACCAUUGCAAAAAAUGCAAAAAAUUUUUUUGCUGUCGUAUAAAAAUUGAUGAAUUUUUAUUUCCAUUCUUUAACCUAUAAGUUUGCCUCAAUCAAAUUUUAACGAAACUUAUAAACGAUGUUACCACAAUACUCAGGUCAAGUAAGUCGGUUUAAUAUAAGCC